UACGGAGGGUGCAAGCGUUAAUCGGAAUUACUGGGCGUAAAGCGCACGCAGGUGGCUGAGUCAGUCGAUUGUGAAAGCCCUGGGCUUAACCUGGGAAUUGCAGUCGAUACUACUCAGCUAGAGUAUGGGAGAGGGUAGUGGAAUUCCCGGUGUAGCGGUGAAAUGCGUAGGUAUCGGGAGGAACAUCAGUGGCGAAGGCGGCUACCUGGCCCAAUACUGACACUCAGGUGCGACAGCGUGGGGAGCAAACAGG
rnacentral:rRNA from 1 species